rnacentral:rRNA from 1 species
UACGUAGGGUGCAAGCGUUGUCCGGAAUUAUUGGGCGUAAAGAGCUCGUAGGCGGUCUGUCACGUCUGCUGUGAAAACUCGGGGCUUAACCCCGGGCCUGCAGUGGGUACGGGCAGACUAGAGUGCGGUAGGGGAGACUGGAAUUCCUGGUGUAGCGGUGAAAUGCGCAGAUAUCAGGAGGAACACCGAUGGCGAAGGCAGGUCUCUGGGCUGACACUGACGCUCAUGCACGAAAGCGUGGGGAGCAAACAGG